rnacentral:rRNA from 1 species
CCUACGGGUGGCACCAGUGGGGAAUAUUGCACAAUGGGCGCAAGCCUGAUGCAGCCAUGCCGCGUGUAUGAAGAAGGCCUUUGGGUUGUAAAGUACUUUCAGCGGGGAGGAAGGGGUUGUGGUUAAUAACCGCAGCUAUUGACGUUACCCGCAGAAGAAGCACCGGCUAACUCCGUGCCAGCAGCCGCGGUAAUACGGAGGGUGCAAGCGUUAAUCGGAGUUACUGGGCGUAAAGCGCACGCAGGCGGUCUGUCAAGUCGGAUGUGAAAUCCCCGGGCUCAACCUGGGAACUGCAUUCGGAACUGGCAGGCUAGAGUCUUGUAGAGGGGGGUAGAAUUCCAGGUGUAGCGGUGAAAUGCGUAGAGAUCUGGAGGAAUACCGGUGGCGAAGGCGGCCCCCUGGACAAAGACUGACGCUCAGGUGCGAAAGCGUGGGGAGCAAACAGGAUUAGAUACCCCAGUAGUC